UCGGCCGCGGUUCGCGCCUUGAUUGGCGGCGGUUCCUUUCCAUUUUCUUCUCCACAUGCUCCUCUUCUCCUUCUGCACCCUCAUCGUCUCUCCAUUUUGGCGACAGUAGGGAGGAAAUCGAGGUGUGUGUGGAUGAAGAGGCGGGCAAGGGCAACGAGGGAGAAGGCGAGGUGGCGGAGGAGGGCGAGGGGGUGUUUGUGGGUGCGGACGAAAAUAUGGGCGAGGGCGAGGCAGUGGAAGAGGGCGAGGCGGUGAGGCAGAGGAAGGCGAAGCAACAGUAGAGAGGGCGGGUGUAUUUUUGGCAUAAAAAAUAUUUUAUAAUGGAACCCUAACGGAUCAUUAAUAGUAGGGGGUGAAGUGCACAUUUUUUAUUUUAUAAGGGGGCAAAGUGUAGGUUUUUAACUGACAUGGGGAAAAAGUGAAAAAUCAGAUUUUUGACAGGGGGGUUUUCUGUAAUUUAGCCAAUGGAGUAUAUAAUUUUUCUAUUGAAGAAGUAGUAUAUG
rnacentral:lncRNA from 1 species